CCUACGGGAGGCAGCAGUCGAGAAUCAUUCACAAUGGGGGAAACCCUGAUGGUGCGACGCCGCGUGGGGGAAUGAAGGUCUUCGGAUUGUAAACCCCUGUCAUGUGGGAGCAAAUUAAAAAGAUAGUACCACAAGAGGAAGAGACGGCCAACUCUGUGUCAGCAGCCGCGGUAAUACAGAGGUCUCAAGCGUUGUUCGGAUUCACUGGGCGUAAAGCGUGCGUAGGCUGUUUCGUAAGUCGUGUGUGAAAGGCGCGGGCUCAACCCGCGGACGGCACAUGAUACUGCGAGACUAGAGUGAUGGAGGGGAAACCGGAAUUCUCGGUGUAGCAGUGAAAUGCGUAGAUAUCGGGAGGAACACUCGUGGCGAAGGCGGGUUCCUGGACAUUAACUGACGCUGAGGCACGAAGGCCAGGGGAGCGAAAGGGAUUAGAUACCCCGGUAGUC
rnacentral:rRNA from 1 species